UGCCUGCUGUUCCCUGGCUCGUGGCUGCGCCGGCCUUCCCUUCACUGCCCGUGUGGCGGGAGGCGACCCUUGGGCCCUCAAUUAGACUUGCUGCGUUGGUGGCUCUCUCAAGAGGGAAGAAAGAAGGGAUGGUGAUGCCUUGGCCUGGGAGGCCUCGAGGGCCAGCGGCCCCUCGCCCUCGGGCUGGACCCUGGAGAGGCCGCACUGGUCACUCCCAGACCCCGAGGGCCCCCCUAGAAGUCUCUCAGUUUUCCUGUUCGUGACCCAGCAGUUUCCAGCAUCAUUUCCACUGUACCAUGAUAUGUCUCGUGGAUCAUCAGACACUUUCCUGGCGGAAGGGGACAGAAGAGGCACAGAGUUGCUGAAGGAGAAAAAUAACUGUACGUAUGUCUGUGGAUCACAAUUUAAUUCAGCAGAACCUGUUUGGGCAGCAAACAGAUUGUGAAGAUAUCCUUUUUGCAAACUCUUCCUCCACUAUAGGACUUCCUUUCUUGGCUCUCACCAUUUUCUUUUUCUUCAUCCUUUGGAGACUCUACACAAUAAUUGCUUAGUUCUGGGGAAACCUGGUUCUUACUUCUUUUUAUGUAGUACUCUGUCAAAAAUUCUCUUUGAUUUCUGCCUUCAAUCCUGCCUGUUUAUACAUUUAGAAAGAAGUCUUUUACUGUCAGAGUGGAAAUUUUGAUGUCUUCAUAUUAGGAGUGUCCAGUCAGUUUUGAGUUUUCUGUAGAUUCAUUCGUCUCCAAGCUGCAUUCUGGAUUUUCUGUCCAAUAAGCCUUUAUUAAGGGUGCACUGUGUGCCAGACGGGCACUUCUUAUUGCUUUACAAAUAUAUAUUAUCCUCAUAACAGUCCUGGGAGAUAGAUGCUAUUA